rnacentral:rRNA from 1 species
CAAGGUUAAAACUCAAAUGAAUUGACGGGGGCCCGCACAAGCGGUGGAGCAUGUGGUUUAAUUCGAUGCAACGCGAAGAACCUUACCUACUCUUGACAUCCAGAGAACUUAGCAGAGAUGCUUUGGUGCCUUCGGGAACUCUGAGACAGGUGCUGCAUGGCUGUCGUCAGCUCGUGUUGUGAAAUGUUGGGUUAAGUCCCGCAACGAGCGCAACCCUUAUCCUUUGUUGCCAGCGAUUCGGUCGGGAACUCAAAGGAGACUGCCGGUGAUAAACCGGAGGAAGGUGGGGAUGACGUCAAGUCAUCAUGGCCCUUACGAGUAGGGCUACACACGUGCUACAAUGGCGUAUACAAAGAGAAGCGACCUCGCGAGAGCAAGCGGAACUCAUAAAGUACGUCGUAGUCCGGAUUGGAGUCUGCAACUCGACUCCAUGAAGUCGGAAUCGCUAGUAGUCGUAGAUCAGAAUGCUACGGUGAAUACGUUCCCGGGCCUUGUACACACCGCCCGUCACACCAUGGGAGUGGGUUGCAAAAGAAGUAGGUAGCUUAACCUUCGGGGGGCGCUUACCACUUUGUGAUUCAUGACUGGGGUG